UACGGAGGAUCCGAGCGUUAUCCGGAUUUAUUGGGUUUAAAGGGUGCGCAGGCGGGAGAUUAAGUCGGCGGUGAAAUUUUGCAGCUCAACUGUAAAAGUGCCUUCGAAACUGGUUUCCUUGAGUGUAGAUGAAGUAGGCGGAAUUUGUGGUGUAGCGGUGAAAUGCUUAGAUAUCACGAGGAACUCCGAUUGCGCAGGCAGCUUACUAAACUACUACUGACGCUCAGGCACGAAGGCGUGGGGAUCAAACAGGAUUAGAUACCCGCGUAGUCCCU
rnacentral:rRNA from 1 species